rnacentral:rRNA from 1 species
UACGUAGGGUCCGAGCGUUGUCCGGAGUUACUGGGCGUAAAGCGUGCGCAGGCGGUUUUGUAAGCCAGAUGUGAAAUCCCCGGGCUUAACCUGGGAAUGGCAUUUGGGACUGCAAGGCUCGAGUGCGGCAGAGGAGACUGGAAUUCCUGGUGUAGCAGUGAAAUGCGUAGAUAUCAGGAGGAACACCGAUGGCGAAGGCAGGUCUCUGGGCUGACACUGACGCUCAUGCACGAAAGCGUGGGGAGCAAACAGG